GUGCCCCAAUAAAAAGUUAUAAUCAUAUUACUUCUAGAAACCAUCAGGCAUACAACAAAGAUUCAAACUGCACAUCUUAUGGGUACUAAUUUGCAUAUCAAGAAAACAUAAAUACUGAUAAAACAGAUUUGGUCCUCUUGAGGUGCAGUAAAGCCCAUAAAAAUGAAAAAAUAUUUGCAUGCUAUCUUGGUAAAGUCAUUAAAAUGAAA
rnacentral:misc_RNA from 1 species